rnacentral:tRNA from 1 species
AGUAAAAUGGCCGAGCUUUAGGCGAUAAAUUGUAAAUUUAUUUACGGAAUUUUUUUCCUUUUACU